rnacentral:rRNA from 1 species
UACGGAGGGUGCAAGCGUUAUCCGGAUUCACUGGGUUUAAAGGGUGCGUAGGCGGGUUGGUAAGUCAGUGGUGAAAUCUUCAAGCUUAACUUGGAAACUGCCGUUGAUACUAUCAAUCUUGAAUGUUGUGGAGGUAAGCGGAAUAUGUCAUGUAGCGGUGAAAUGCUUAGAUAUGACAUAGAACACCGAUAGCGAAGGCAGCUUGCUACACAAAAAUUGACGCUGAGGCACGAAAGCGUGGGGAAUCAAACAGGAGUUAGAAA